rnacentral:lncRNA from 1 species
UUCUAUUCCUGUUCUAGUUGAAUCAGACAGAGAGACAGGGACAGAGGUUCUAUUCCUGUUGUAGAUGAAUCAGACAGAGAGACAGGGACAGAGGUUCUAUUCCUGUUCUAGACAAAUCAGACAGAGAGACAGGGACAGAGGUUCUAUUCCUGUUCUAGAUGAAUCAGACAGAGAGACAGGGACAGAGGUUCUAUUCCUGUUCUAGAUGAAUCAGACAGAGAGACAGGGACAGAGGUUCUAUUCCUGUUGUAGUUGAAUCAGACAGCGAGACAGGGACAGAGGUUCUAUUCCUGUUGAAUCAGACAGAGAGACAGGGACAGAGUUUCUAUUCCUGUUCUAGUUGAAUCAGACAGAGAGACAGGGACAGAGGUUCUAUUCCUGUUGAAUCAGACAGAGAGACAGG